rnacentral:rRNA from 1 species
UACGAAGGGGGCUAGCGUUGCUCGGAAUCACUGGGCGUAAAGCGCACGUAGGCGGGUCUUUAAGUCGGGGGUGAAAUCCUGGAGCUCAACUCCAGAACUGCCUUCGAUACUGAGGAUCUCGAGUCCGGGAGAGGUGAGUGGAACUCCGAGUGUAGAGGUGAAAUUCGUAGAUAUUAGGAAGAACACCGGUGGCGAAGGCGGCCCACUGGAUCGGUACUGACGCUGAGGAGCGAAAGUGUGGGGAGCGAACAGG